UUAAUUCAUUUGAGUUUCGAG
ensembl:piRNA 21ur-4272 ncRNA